CAGGACGAUAUCGCCACUGCACAGGCGUCGAUCAAUAGAAACAAGUAAAGCCACCGCCACCGUUGCAGUUCACGAACACUGCCCAGAUACGAAAGAGCAUUCUUUAUAAAUACAAGUAAAUAUUAUCGAAUAUACUAUCGUAAAUUUUCCAAGGAGAAGAAUAUGCGGCAAUUACGACUAAACAUGAUUAUGUAUCAUGUAUCAUCGAUGAAUCAGAAUGGAUUAUGGAAAAAUGUCGUUGCCGUUAGACGAUCUCACCUAUGCAGUAGUAAAGUGUAAUCGUAAUUUGUACGUGAUGGGAUCCUCGAGCGCAAGUAUCAACAAUAUUAUUCGAAACUCGAGGCUUAAGGUUUCCUUCGGAAAAACAUCCGAGUAUCGAAAACAUUGUGCCCCUAUCGCAUAGUUGGCGAUGUUGCUGCUGGAGGGAAGGUGGGUGUCCGGUCUCGUAAUUCGUAACCUGAAAAUUGCUGCGAUCAGCAGUUUAUUGGCGUGUUGGCAGUUUCCCGAAUAUGUAAUAAGAUUAACGAAGCAAACAUGUGUAGCAGUUUAAAAGAGACUUGAAUACCUUACACCAGCUUACCUGUUUCGUUGAGGAUUGCGGAUAGGUGCCGACAUCGUAUUUCCAGUGACGAUGCUUCCAUUGUUAGUGACAUUACGUGUAUUACGCUCGUCGGCAGAGGUUCUCGGCAGUCUAGGACUUCCAGCAAACACGAAACCCAACAGGCACGUGAACGAGAUACGACGAUAAAAAGAAAAAACGGCCAAAGGAAGGAAGGAAGGAAGGAAGGCAUCCAAUUUUAAGAACACGAACCAACACUCCCGAUAAUCACUGUGGUGUUGUAUUACCAACUAGCUCGUGUACUUCGUGUACCAUUAAUAUACACAAAGAAGGAAAAAUACACCAAACAAAACAAA